UGCAGGCCAGGCGGCUUACACAACAGACAUUGCUUCUCCCUGAGUCACAAGGUUAUCCUUCUGUGUGUGUCUGUGUCUUCAUCUCCACUUCUUAUAAGGACACCAGUUGAUAUCGUUUGGCUGUGUACAAUUCAUCUUGAAUUGUAGUUCCCAUCAGGAGGAACUCGGUAGGAGGUAAUUGAAUCAUGGGGGUGGUUACGCUCAUGCUGUUCUCAUGAUAGUGCGUGGGUACUCGUGUGAUCUGAUGGUUUUAUAAGGGGCUUCCCCCUUUGCUUGGCACACACUUCUCUUGCCUGCCACCAGGUAAGACGUGCCUGUUUUGCCUUCCAUGAUUGUAAGUUUCCUGAGGCCUCCCUAGCCAUGCAGAACUGUGAGUCAGUUAAACCUCUUUUCUUUAUAAAUUACCCAAUGUGUGGUAUGUAUUCAUAGCAACAUGAAAACAGACUAAUACACCAGUCAUGUGGGAUUAGGGUCUACCCUAAUGACCUCAUGUUAACUUAAUCACCCCCCUAAAGAAUGUAGGGGGUCCUAUCCAACAAAAUCAGUAUUCUGGGGGCUGAAUUACCUGAAAAUGGGAAUAACUGAUCUGUGCAGAGAGGUCCCUUCCAACAGGGAUUAGCAAUUCAAGGAGGUUGACAGUUGUCAUAGUUAGUUCCUGCUGCUAUAACAAAAUACCUUAUACCUGGUACUUAUACUUAUGAUGAGUAGAAAUUUCUUUCUAGGCAAGAGGAUUGCUUGAGCCCAGGGCUUUAAGAUCAGCCUGGGCAACAUACCAAGACCCCAUCUCUACAAAAAAUAAAAAAUAGCUAGGGGUGGCGGCUUGCACCUGUAGUCCCAGCUACUCAGGAGGCUGAGGCAGGAGGAUCACUUGAGCCCAGGAGUUCAAGUCUGCAGUGAGCUAUGAUUGUGCCACUGUACUCCAGCUUGGGUAACAUAGUGAGACCCUGUCUCAAAAAGUAAAAAAAAAAAAAAAAAAGAAGAAGAAAGAAAUUUAUUUCUCUCAGUUCUGGAGGCUGGGAAGUCCAAGAUCAAGGUGCCAGCAGACUUGGUAUCUGGUGAAGGCCCAGUCUUGCCUUCAUAGUGGCACCUUUUCCUAUGUCCUCACAUGGCUGAAGGGCAAAAGGGGCUGGCUAGUUUCCCCGAUCCCUCUCAUAAGGGCACCAGUCAC
rnacentral:lncRNA from 1 species